AUCGAUUCUUGGCCUUAUGGCUGAGAUCAAGCGUAGUAUCUGUUCUUAUCAGUUAAUAUCGGAUACGUCCCCAUCUGAGAACCAUAUAUUGAAUGAAUUUUUCAGAACAGGGACCGAUUUUGAAGCUGACGUCCAUCACCCUAGGCGUGUGUUUGAUAAGGCAGUUUCUGCAGGUUCAGUGCACCCCAC